CUAUCCCUCCCUCUUCUAUCUCUGUCACCUGCCGGAAUCACUCACACACAACAUCAUACAAAAAUCUAGGGGUGCUAAAAAAUCAUUCACACACAAAAAACUCUUUAGUUGCCCUUGGCCUUGCCCCUUUGUUCAUUCAUAAUCCACCCUCCAGACGUAGAAGAUGCAGAUGCAAAUGCCAAACAGAAAACACGCAUCUGGGCGCACCAUUCUUCAGCCUUGGCCCACAAUUCUCUGCCUCCUCUUUCUUUAUCGCUCAUAUCGAUUGAUUUCAUACAGAACCAGAAUAUAGGUAUAUAAAAAAAUGGAAGAGGGGAAGGGGAAGCACGCCUCAUGUUUGGGGAGGAUGAUGAGAUGGCAGGAACGAUGAUGUGGCGUUGAGGUUGAAUGAAUUUCCAAGAAACCUGUACAAAAAUUAUUUCCUUUAAAUACACUAUUAUUGGAAUUAAUUAGCAUGUACAAAAUUGAAACUCGUACAACGGAAUUAAUUAGGAUGUACAAAAUAGAAAUUUGUGUAUCAUAAUUAAUGUUGCUUAUUGUUGACAAUAUAGACAAUGGAUAUAUAAAUGCAUGUGUAUAG
rnacentral:lncRNA from 1 species